UAAUACUCCAUAGAUCAUGGGAUCUGGAAUGACCCAUGGUUCAAAGUUCCGGCGCUUAAGGAUCGGUCUGCGGCCUAUCAGGUAGUAGUAGGUGUAACGUACCUACUAGCCUACGACGGGUAUGGGCCUUGAGAGAGGGAGCCCAGAGUUGGAUUCUGAGACACGAAUCCAGGCCCUACGGGGCGCAGCAGUCGCGAAAACUUCACACUGGGGGCAACCCCGAUGAGGGAAUUCCUAGUGCUAGGACAUUUGUUCUAGCUUUUCUCUAGCGUAGAUAACUAGAGGAAUAAGGGCUGGGUAAGACGGGUGCCAGCCGCCGCGGUAAUACCUGCAGCCCAAGUGGUGGUCGAUUUUAUUGAGUCUAAAGCGUUCGUAGCCGGUUUGAUAAAUCCUUGGGUAAAUCGGGAAGCUUAACUUUCCGACUUCCGAGGAGACUGUCAAACUUGGGACCGGGAGAGGCUAGAGGUACUUCUGGGGUAGGGGUAAAAUCCUGUAAUCCUAGAAGGACCACCGGUGGCGAAGGCGUCUAGCUAGAACGGAUCCGACGGUGAGGGACGAAGCCCUGGGUCGCAAACGGGAUUAGAUACCCCGGUAGUCCAGGGUGUAAACGCUGCCGACUUGGUGU
rnacentral:rRNA from 1 species